rnacentral:lncRNA from 1 species
AAGCGGUUGAGGGUCAAAACAUUUGUAAUGUGUAUGCCUUCUUAUAAUAGCAUUUCCUUCAGUACCUAGUCCUCCAUUUUGAAAGAGUGAGGCUUGGCCCCAUAGUCAUAAUAGUCGACGGUACGUUCACCCCUGGUUGUCUUGUUACGAACUUUUAUCCCUCUUGUUGUAAUGGGCUUGCUGAGAGUAAAAAUCAUUCCUCUUACCAAGAGACAAAUACGUUUGGUGACUUAGCGAGUAACUAAAUG